rnacentral:rRNA from 1 species
UACGUAGGGGGCAAGCGUUGUCCGGAAUCAUUGGGCGUAAAGCGCGUGUAGGCGGUCCGGUAAGUCCGCUGUGAAAGUCGGGGGCUUAACCCUCGGAUGCCGGUGGAUACUGUCGGGCUUGAGUACGGAAGAGGCGAGUGGAAUUCCUGGUGUAGCGGUGAAAUGCGCAGAUAUCAGGAGGAACACCAAUUGCGAAGGCAGCUCGCUGGGACGUUACUGACGCUGAGACGCGAAAUCGUGGGGAUCAAACAGG